UGGCGGCGGCGUGCCUAUACAUGCAAGUCGAGCGGACUUGACGGAAGCUUGCUUCCGUUCAAGUUAGCGGCGGACGGGUGAGUAACACGUGGGUAACCUGCCUGUAAGACUGGGAUAACUCCGGGAAACCGGGGCUAAUACCGGAUAUUCUUUUUCUUCGCAUGAAGAAGAAUGGAAAGGCGGCUUUUAGCUGUCGCUUACAGAUGGACCCGCGGCGCAUUAGCUAGUUGGUGAGGUAACGGCUCACCAAGGCAACGAUGCGUAGCCGACCUGAGAGGGUGAUCGGCCACACUGGGACUGAGACACGGCCCAGACUCCUACGGGAGGCAGCAGUAGGGAAUCUUCCGCAAUGGACGAAAGUCUGACGGAGCAACGCCGCGUGAGUGAAGAAGGUUUUCGGAUCGUAAAGCUCUGUUGUCAGGGAAGAACAAGUACGGAAGUAACUGUCCGUACCUUGACGGUACCUGACCAGAAAGCCACGGCUAACUACGUGCCAGCAGCCGCGGUAAUACGUAGGUGGCAAGCGUUGUCCGGAAUUAUUGGGCGUAAAGCGCGCGCAGGCGGCUUCUUAAGUCUGAUGUGAAAGCCCACGGCUCAACCGUGGAGGGUCAUUGGAAACUGGGAGGCUUGAGUGCAGAAGAGGAGAGCGGAAUUCCACGUGUAGCGGUGAAAUGCGUAGAGAUGUGGAGGAACACCAGUGGCGAAGGCGGCUCUCUGGUCUGUAACUGACGCUGAGGCGCGAAAGCGUGGGGAGCGAACAGGAUUAGAUACCCUGGUAGUCCACGCCGUAAACGAUGAGU
rnacentral:rRNA from 1 species